rnacentral:rRNA from 1 species
UACUUUGUUGUUGACCAUGGCAUAUCUUCCCCGGUAUUUGAUCUCUCAGAACUGGUUAAGCUUUCUAGUAAACCACAUCAACUUUAUUGUCUUAACCUUGAACAAACCAGUUCAUUCCCUUUGAGUUAGUUUAAGUAUUGACAGAGUUAUCUUAGAAAAGGAAGAAAAAAAACAGAUUUAUAAGUCAAUUCUGGUAAGGUUCCGAGGAAAAGCGGUACGUAUUUGAUUUGGUUGUUGAUUCUAUUCGUGCUUUUAGUUUCGAAGCUAUUUUUGCCUAUGUGGGUUAUGCAGCUUUGAGUAACGGGUUCCCAUAUCUUUCUGUCAAAGGUGUAGUUUUUGUUGUUUUUGCUCGCGUUUGUAUAUUAUCGCAUAAGCCUUAACAUGGGUUCGGGGAGGGUACCCAAGAUAUGGGCUAAGUAUUGAUCUUUCGAAGAGACCAGGAAGUGAUUGGCCCCGAUUUUCAGGACUUUAGCUUUUACGGUUUUAUCCUUAUUCCGAACGAUAAUAAUCUUUACAGGUUUUUUAUAGUAUAAGCACUUCGUCUUUGUAUUACAUGAGGGUAAUUACACCUUAUCCGCCUUGAAUUUAAUCAGUUAAGUUAAGUCGUAACAGUUAAAUAGGUCUUGAAGAGAGAAAAGGAGACACUUUGUUCUUAGAAAAAACAAGUUUGUUUUCGCGAAUCAAAUCGGAAACAAAGGAGACACGACGUAGAAGAAAUUUCUAAGUAGGUUACCUUAGGGUUGAGGGAAAGAAAACCUAAAGGUAAGAUAAAUCUAUACCACAUACAUCUAGAUUAAGAAUAUAUUUCUUUUGAAAGAGCAAAGUGAAACAGAGCGAAAGAGAUCUUAGAGAUCUUUUUUCUUAUCGAGAUAGGAAAUAAAUUAUAAAUUAUUAUUUUAUUAUUCUCUGAUAAUUUAUUUUUACUCUUAUGAUGAUUUAAUCUUGGAUUAAUUCUAUCAUCCUGAUUAGAUACGUCAUAUUAAUUACUCUUCAUUAUGAUAUUUUAUUUUUAUUUCUUGAGAUAAAGUCUUGAUACUCUGUCUUAUAAGACAAAAGAAUAAAUGAGAAAUGAAAUAAAAAAGAUAAAUUUCAACUAGUUAAAUGUAUUACAUAGAUAUUUGUUUCAUUAUUUAUAUGAAUUUUGUUUCAUCCUUAAGUGUUUUACCUAUUUUAGUAACGUCAAUAAUAUCCCUUCAGAUCUCUAUAGGAUAAACUUCCUCCUGCCCUAAGUUUAGUCCCUUUCCUAGGAAAGAAGAUAACUAAACUAUCUUUAAGCAAAAAGAAAAGGACUGACAUACUAAAACUAAAAGCUACUUACUCGGAAAACAUUACGAAAAUAGAGAUAAGAUACAGCGUCCGCGGAUAGGUCAGAUAUUUGUUUAUGAUUACUCUUUUACUUUUGAUAUGAUUUGAUUUCUUUUGUAUCCUAUCUCUAGGAUUUUAGAUUUUUUCCCGUAUAAUCCCGAUAUGCCUAAGCUUGGCAUCUGGAAGAACCAUUUUGUCUAGUUUGCCUAAUAAUAGCUUUACUAAACUUGACAAAGUUUCUGGGUUGUACGUAAAAAACGUAACCCGAGAAAGUAUUUGACUAAAUUUCUAGUCAAUCAGGUGGUAUGAAAAAGAAAUGCCUUUCUAUUACUCUACCGAGGGACACGAGACUAACUAAAAAAAAAUAAUACUAGAUAGAUCCUCGUUAUGGUUUCACAAAGUUUCCUCCUAAUGGAACUGAAUCCAGACGGAGGCCAGAUUUAAUUUAGUUGGAUUCACUUUACCUCAGAGAUAGCAAGGUGACGUUCUCAAUUGAUACUCUGAAGUAUGUGGAAUUUCAAGUAUCUUGCUUUUCUUCAAAAAACCUCCGGGAAUAGGAGUAAUGCGGAUCGUAAAUCACCCGACCUAUAAAUGGAAUAGUUGAUCGUUUAGGUAUUCCCAAGAUAAACUAAUCCGUGGACUUAACCGUGGACUUAGCCUGACUUGGCUGACAAACAGUUCGAUGACAAGAGGAUAAGAGAGCUUAGAUACUUCAUUCUGUAACUAAAACGUUAUUCUAGCUAAUACAAGUAACGUAUUAUUCGAGGAAACUUUUCGUAACCGCGUGCACAUUUGCUCAACGAGAUGGCUUGACUCGAUAUCGGGAA